rnacentral:rRNA from 1 species
UACAGAGGUCCCGAGCGUUGCUCGGAUUCACUGGGCGUAAAGGGUGCGUAGGUGGUGAGGUAAGUCGGAUGUGAAAUCUCCAGGCUCAACCUGGAAACUGCAUUGGAAACUACCUUGCUGGAGGAUUUGAGGGGGGAUUGGAAUACUUGGUGUAGCAGUGAAAUGCGUAGAUAUCAAGUGGAACACCAGUGGCGAAGGCGAGUCCCUGGACGACUCCUGACACUGAGGCACGAAAGCUAGGGGAGCAAACAGG